AGCGAACGCUGGCGGCAGGCCUAACACAUGCAAGUCGAGCGCUCCGCAAGGGGAGCGGCAGACGGGAGAGUAACACGUGGGAACGUACCCUUUGGUUCGGAACAACCCAGGGAAACUUGGGCUGAUACCGGAUAAGCCCUCACGGGGAAAGAUUUAUCGCCGAAGGAUCGGCCCGCGUCUGAUUAGCUCGUUGGUGAGGUAACGGCUCACCAAGGCGACGAUCAGUAGCUGGACUGAGAGGAUGAUCAGCCUCACUGGGACUGAGACACGGCCCAGACUCCUACGGGAGGCAGCAGUGGGGAAUAUUGGACAAUGGGCGCAAGCCUGAUCCAGCCAUGCCGCGUGGGUGAUGAAGGCCCUAGGGUUGUAAAGCCCUUUCGGCGGGGAAGAUAAUGACGGUACCCGCAGAAGAAGCCCCGGCUAACUUCGUGCCAGCCGCCGCCGUAA
rnacentral:rRNA from 1 species